rnacentral:rRNA from 1 species
CGGACGGGUGAGUAACGCGUGGGUGACCUGCCUCACACUGGGGGAGUAACAGUUAGAAAUAGCUGCUAAUACCGCAUAAGCGCACGGUUCCGCAUGGAACAGUGUGAAAAACUCCGGUGGUGUGAGAUGGACCCGCGUCUGAUUAGCCAGUUGGCGGGGUAACGGCCCACCAAAGCGACGAUCAGUAGCCGGCCUGAGAGGGUGAACGGCCACAUUGGGACUGAGACACGGCCCAA